GCCAACGACUGGGCAGCAGGCGCGGCAAUACGUGUGGGGAGAGUGUUAGCCGGAAUGAUGGUGCUGGAAGCGCUCGUAGGCGGGUUGUCGCGUCUGUCGUGAAAGGCCGGGGCUUAACCCCGGGUCUGCGGGGGGUACGGGCAGACUAGAGUGCAGUAGGGGAGACUGGAAUUCCUGGUGUAGCGGUGGAAUGCGCAGAUAUCAGGAGGAACACCGAUGGCGAAGGCAGGUCUCUGGGCUGUAACUGACGCUGAGGAGCGAAAGCAUGGGGAGCGAACAGGAUUAGAUACCCGAGUAGUC
rnacentral:rRNA from 1 species